UAAAAGCACCGGGGAUCUGUUUUGUUUUUUGACAGAUGGCGUUUAUUCUCACUGGGCAUCAUCUGACAUUAGAAUAGCUACAGAGACGGCCAUUUGGAAGGUGGCUUCUACAAUUCCAAAAGGAGAGGGAAGGUCCGGAAUUAUGUCAAACAGGGACCGAAACUGACUGUUAACAACAAUAAGAAUCUAAGCGUGAAUUAAUGAAAUCACAUCAGGAAGGGUUCCAAUCGGUGGUCCCAAAAAAAAAAAAAAAAAA